rnacentral:tRNA from 1 species
GGGCCGGUGGUCUAACGGUAACGCAGCGCCGGAAUGAUGCCGCGUUCGCAUCGCGGAGGCUCCGGGUUCAAAUCCCGGCCGGUCCA